rnacentral:lncRNA from 1 species
AAAAAUCUGAAUCCUCUUACUUGAUUUAUUUCAUACAAAUUUUGACCACAAUAUGUUUUUUUUCUUCUUAGUUCUGUUCUUCCACUGGAGUUGUGUUCUCACUCAAACUUAUCUAUAUUUCUCAUUAGCCCAGAGAACCAAACAUAAGCAUCCGUAUACAAGGUAAAAUACUCUGGUCUAAUUGCUCUAGUUUGUUUUUGUUAGUUUGAUUACCUGUUCUUCAUCUUUUAAACAUCUUUUACGGGGUUGAACAUAAAAUUCAAAUGCUCUGUUUUAAAUCCAUUUAUAUUUAUUUAUGUCUUUACUUAAACUAGCUAAUAAACUGAUUUUUUAGCUUUUUUCUCUUUUUUGUAAAUCCAAUUUAGCUUUUUCAAAAAACUGAUUUUUAGCUAUGUGUGUUUGAUAACCUGGUUUUAGCUAGAAAUGUAUGUUCUGUCUAAGAAAACAUAGAAUUAAGUUAUUUUUUUAAUGAAAAACUAAGAAAGAAUGGGUUUAAAGUUGGAUGAUUUUUGAUAUUUAUGUAACUACAUAUGCAUGUACCAAAAUUGACAAACAGAAAAACCGAUCGUAAUGAAGACUGAUUUUAAUUUAUUAAUUUUGCAGAGGUUGAAGGGAAAAAAUAUCGUAAGACCACCGUGCCUAGCGUUUUCCAUCUUCUGCUUUGCCAGCCUUUGAAGUUGACCAGACUAUAAUAUAGCAAUAUUUGUAUCUCCUUUUUUUUUCCUGAUAAAGAUACAUGGAUGUAGAAGAUGAAAAUGGUGUAUAGAUGGUGUAGAUGAAAAUGGAUGAUGUAUAGAUAUGUAUAGGGUGUGAACUUAUUAUGUAUGUAUACGGUAUGAAUGUAUAGAUGUAUGUAUAGGAUAUGAAUGUAUAGAUGUAUGUAUAGGGUAUGAAUGUAUAGAUGUAUGUAUAGGAUAUGAAUGUAUAGAUGUAUGUAUAGGGUGUGAAUGUAUAGAUGUAUGUAUAGAUAUGUAUAGGGUAUGAAAGUAUAGGGUGUGAUUGUAUAGUGUAUGUAGAGGGUGUGAAGGUAUAGAUGGAUGUAUGUAUAGGCUCCACAGAUAUGCGUGUGAGUGAGCGAAGUUGUAGUCAAAAGCCGAAAGCCGAAGGAAUGAUAGUCGAAAAUAGGCAGAAAAUAAAACAAACGUAGGAACAUUCAAAAUACUAGUAAAAAAAGCAGAAAUAACACAAACUUAGGAACAUCAAAAUAGUAAAAUGCGCUAAAAGAUCUAAACGACACACUCAAGACUCAAAAGGAAUACGCAAAAAAAUUGCCAAAAGUGUUGAAAAAGCAAAAAGAACAAAAACAAGCAGAAUAUAUGCCAUUUAGCAUAUAUAUCAGCAUAAAGAGAGGGAAAUCAGCCUAUAUACGAACUUUUUACCUUUCGAAAAUACAUACACAAUGUUAGAUUUCCGUCAAAAAGUGGCUGACACGUGGCACACUUAUUAGUUGAACACUACAUCACCGUAUCCACAAGCCCUCAUAUAUAUAUAUAUUAGCCAUGAUGUAUAUAAAAUUUUUAAUAUUAAUUGAUGAAAAAUAAUAAAGUUUCAAAAUAACAAUCAAAACUAGUUAGUCUAAUGUUAGAAUGAUGGUAGGUCUUUUAGAAAUAAAAUAAGGAGAAUUAGUUUUUUUAGUUACUAUAUUUAUUCAUAAAAUUGAAUUUUUUAGUUCACUGAUUUUGAGGUAUUUUUGAAUUUUGUUGUUAUUAUUUUUUAAUACAUAAAUACAUCCUAUAUGAAUAUAGUAACGAGACCACAUAAGGUUUAGGUUUCUACUUGUCCUUAAUUAUCCAAAAAGUUUAGAUCUUAUAAAAGUUAUCCAACUAAUUAAUGAUAAGUAUAAAUUUUUUUUUGAAAUAACUAGUUAAAAAGUAAUUAAUUUACCAUAUAACAUUCAAAAUAAAUUUAGUUAUAGGUCUUUUAAAAAUAAAAUAAGGAGAAUUAGUUUUUUUAGUCACUAUAUUUAUUCAUAAAAUUGAAUUUUUUAGUUCACUGAUUUUGAGAUAUUUUUGAAUUUUGUUGUUAUUAUUUUUUAAUACAUAAAUACAUCUUAUAUGAAUAUAGUAACGAGACCACAUAAGGUUUAGGUUUCUACUUGUCCUUAACUAUCCAAAAAGUUUAGAUCUUAUAAAAGUUAUCCAACUAAUUAAUG